rnacentral:rRNA from 1 species
CCUACGGGAGGCAGCAGUGGGGAAUAUUGGACAAUGGGCGAAAGCCUGAUCCAGCCAUGCCGCGUGUGUGAAGAAGGUCUUCGGAUUGUAAAGCACUUUAAGUUGGGAGGAGGGGUUGUAGAUUAAUACUCUGCAAUUUUGACGUUACCGACAGAAUAAGCACCGGCUAACUCUGUGCCAGCAGCCGCGGUAAUACAGAGGGUGCAAGCGUUAAUCGGAAUUACUGGGCGUAAAGCGCGCGUAGGUGGUUUGUUAAGUUGGAUGUGAAAUCCCCGGGCUCAACCUGGGAACUGCAUCCAAAACUGGCAAGCUAGAGUAUGGUAGAGGGUGGUGGAAUUUCCUGUGUAGCGGUGAAAUGCGUAGAUAUAGGAAGGAACACCAGUGGCGAAGGCGACCACCUGGACUGAUACUGACACUGAGGUGCGAAAGCGUGGGGAGCAAACGAGGUAUUAGACUACCCGUGGUACGUCCACGCCGUAAACGAUGUACAACUAGCCGUUGGGUAGCUGUAGCUCUAGUGCGCGAGCUACGACAUUAAGUUAGUACCGCCGUCGGGUAGGUACGGCCGGCGAACGGUUAAAACGUUAAACGUAGAAGUUAGUACGGACGUGAGACGUAGACCGACGGACGACGACGAGGGAGGUUAGG